ensembl:snoRNA
UUGCACAGCGAACACCCAGGGAUGCUAGUGUGGCUCUCCCUGGUCUCCAGUGUCUGUGCUACAAUGACUCUGAUCUUAUCCUCUGCAUUAGGAGAGUUUAGUCUCUCCUACAUGUAUUCAGCUGAUCAGAACAAAC